GAUGAACGCUGGCGGCGUGCCUAAUACAUGCAAGUCGAGCGAACGGACGAGAAGCUUGCUUCUCUGAUGUUAGCGGCGGACGGGUGAGUAACACGUGGAUAACCUACCUAUAAGACUGGGAUAACUUCGGGAAACCGUAGCUAAUACCGGAUAAUAUUUUGGACCGCAUGGUUCAAAAGUGAAAGACGGUCCUGCUGUCACUUAUAGAUGGAUCCGCGCUGCAUUAGCUAGUUGGUAAGGUAACGGCUUACCAAGGCAACGAUGCAUAGCCGACCUGAGAGGGUGAUCGGCCACACUGGAACUGAGACACGGUCCAGACUCCUACGGGAGGCAGCAGUAGGGAAUCUUCCGCAAAGGGCGAAAGCCUGACGGAGCAACGCCGCGUGAGUGAUGAAGGUCUUCGGAUCGUAAAACUCUGUUAUUAGGGAAGAACAUAUGUGUAAGUAACUGUGCACAUCUUGACGGUACCUAAUCAGAAAGCCACGGCUAACUACGUG
rnacentral:rRNA from 1 species